GGCGGAGUAGCCAACUGGGAAGGCAUUGGUCUGCAAAACCGACAUGAAUGGGUUCGACUCCCAUCUCCGCCUCCA
rnacentral:tRNA from 1 species